rnacentral:lncRNA from 1 species
GGACAACAAGCAUCAUUAUUCAUAGAUACAUGUACUUUAUUUAUUUUCAAAGAAGCUCAUCGAUACAAACUAGCCGUUUUAUGUUGGUGGCGCACAACCCACACACACACAAAAUACUUCAUCACCCUGAAUAUUGCAGUACCCGCCGCCAGGGAAUUCGCCGGAAUGGCACCACUCAUUACACAUAUCGGAUUUACGACAUGGUACAUUUGUAUGGAUCUCCUUCGUUUUGCAUUUUCCUUGAAAUGUAUCUGUAUAAAUAAACAGAAUAACAUAAGAUAUUAUUCCAUGUAGUCAAAAGGAUGAAGGAAAAUAUGGAAGAGACCGUUUUUGUUUGCCAGAUAAUAUGGCAUUCAUGCUCUAGCCAGUUGCUCAAAAGUUUAAACUAAUGAAGAAAGACAGAUAAUAUAUUUCAACAGAGAUCUUUAUGCUGAAGCAUCAUAUAUUGAAGUUAGCAACAUAUGUGUUUUUCUUACCACAAGACACGAGGAGCGCCAACAUAAAGAUAGCAGACAUAACAACGAUGAUGGUGCGCUUGCAGUCCAUGCUGAGUACUUUUGAUGGAUGUGUGUUUACAUGUAUAUGUAUUUAUAGGACUAGAAAGAUUGUG